AUAUCAAUAAGCGGAGGAAAAGAAACCAACAGGGAUUGCCCUAGUAACGGCGAGUGAAGCGGCAACAGCUCAAAUUUGAAAUCUGGCCCUCGGGUCCGAGUUGUAAUUUGUAGAGGAUGCUUUUGGUGCGGUGCCUUCCGAGUUCCCUGGAACGGGACGCCAUAGAGGGUGAGAGCCCCGUCUGGUUGGACACCAAGCCUCUGUAAAGCUCCUUCGACGAGUCGAGUAGUUUGGGAAUGCUGCUCUAAAUGGGAGGUAUAUGUCUUCUAAAGCUAAAUACCGGCCAGAGACCGAUAGCGCACAAGUAGAGUGAUCGAAAGAUGAAAAGCACUUUGAAAAGAGAGUUAAAUAGUACGUGAAAUUGUUGAAAGGGAAGCGCUUGUGACCAGACUUGGGCUUGGUUAAUCAUCCAGGGUUCUCCCUGGUGCACUUGGCCGGCCCAGGCCAGCAUCAGUUUGCCGCGGGGGAUAAAGGCGUCGGGAAUGUGGCUCCCUCGGGAGUGUUAUAGCCCGGCGUGCAAUACCCUGCGGCGGACUGAGGUUCGCGCAUCUGCAAGGAUGCUGGCGUAAUGGUCAUCAGCGACCCGUCUUGAAACACGGACCAAGGAGUCGUCUUCGUAUGCGAGUGUUCGGGUGUCAAACCCCUACGCGUAAUGAAAGUGAACGCAGGUGAGAGCUUCGGCGCAUCAUCGACCGAUCCUGAUGUUCUCGGAUGGAUUUGAGUAAGAGCAUACGGGGCCGGACCCGAAAGAAGGUGAACUAUGCCUGUAUAGGGUGAAGCCAGAGGAAACUCUGGUGGAGGCUCGCAGCGGUUCUGACGUGCAAAUCGAUCGUCAAAUAUGGGCAUGGGGGCGAAAGACUAAUCGAACCUUCUAGUAGCUGGUUUCCGCC
rnacentral:rRNA from 1 species